UACGUAGGGGGCAAGCGUUGUCCGGAUUUAUUGGGCGUAAAGAGCGUGUAGGCGGCCAAGCAGGUCCGCUGUGAAAACUCGAGGCUCAACCUCGAGAGGUCGGUGGAAACCGUUUGGCUAGAGUCCGGAAGAGGAGAGUGGAAUUCCCGGUGUAGCGGUGAAAUGCGCAGAUAUCGGGAAGAACACCCGUGGCGAAGGCGGCUCUCUGGGACGGUACUGACGCUGAGACGGCGAAAGCGUGGGGAGCGAACAGG
rnacentral:rRNA from 1 species